UAGGGAAUCUUCGGCAAUGGACGAAAGUCUGACCGAGCAACGCCGCGUGAGUGAAGAAGGUUUUCGGAUCGUAAAACUCUGUUGUUAGAGAAGAACAAGGACGUUAGUAAACUGAACGUCCCCUGACGGUAUCUAACCAGAAAGCCACGGCUAACUACGUGCCAGCAGCCGCGGUAAUACGUAGGUGGCAAGCGUUGUCCGGAUUUAUUGGGCGUAAAGCGAGCGCAGGCGGUUUCUUAAGUCUGAUGUGAAAGCCCCCGGCUCAACCGGGGAGGGUCAUUGGAAACUGGGAGACUUGAGUGCAGAAGAGGAGAGUGGAAUUCCAUGUGUAGCGGUGAAAUGCGUAGAUAUAUGGAGGAACACCAGUGGCGAAGGCGGCUCGCUGGUCUGUAACUGACGCUGAGGCUCGAAAGCGUGGGGAGCAAACAGG
rnacentral:rRNA from 1 species